GCCGUCAUAGCACAGAGGUACAGCGUCUGGCUGUAAACGCGAUGGUUGUGAGUUCGAUUUCCACUGGGGGUA
rnacentral:tRNA from 1 species